CUUUUCCCCCAGCUCUGAUUUCUGGAUGGACGUCUGCAACAACAUAUUCACAGUGACAAAUACUGGCCUUCAGUUCAGUACAAAGUAAUUCACAUAAAACAUGUGACUCAAUAUAAAAAGUAGUCAGUACUGAUACCUGCUCACAGUGUACAAGGGGUGUCACAGAUAAUUAUCUGCAUGCUCUGUGGGCCUGUAUACCUGCUCACAGUGCACCAUGGGUGUCACAGAUAAUUAUCUGCAUGCUCUGUGGGCCUGUAUACCUGCUCACAGUGUACAAUGGGUGUCACAGAUAAUUAUCUGCAUACUCUGUGGGCCUGUAUACCUGUUCACAGUGCACUAUAGGUGUCACAGAUAAUUAUCUGCAUGCUCUGUGGGCCUGUAUACCAGCUCACAGUGCACCAUGGGUGUCACAGGUAAUUACUGUAUGUUCUCUAUAGGUGAAAGAUCUGGACUGCAGACAGGCCAAUUCAGCACCCGGACUCUUCUCCGACGAAG